rnacentral:lncRNA from 1 species
UUAAGACGACGUUCAUGUCUUUAACUUUUUCUCUCUUUAGGAAGCGAGCUUGAUAUGCGUGGCGAUCGUUUCUCGACUUUCGGAGAGUUUAGAUCGGUUUGCAAAAUCUUAGUUCUCUCGAAGAUGCAGUUUUGUCCCUUCUCAGUUUUGCGUGCUCAUUUCCGUUUCCUAUUCUCGUGUAUGUUUGUCAUUUCCGAUAUUGGUGUUUAUCCUUUGAAACUUGACAUUUAUCUUCCGAACUUGACUGUUAUCUUCUCCUUAGAUAAGACGUCGAUUUUUGUAAAAAGGUUCAACGUAAUCGUAUAGUUAAGGCGGCUAAGGUGUCAAGUAAACCGUUGCCGUUUUAUACGAUUAAUCUGAAUCCAUGCGAGAAAAUAGGUCUUUGCGGUUUUUUUUUUUUUUUAUAUCAUAAAGUUUCAAUGGUAACUUCAAUCGAGGCGAAACAAGAGACGUUUCGAUCGAGAUUCAAAAGUGAACGCAAAGAUGGAGGUAGGGUGAGCAGAAACAAGCCAAGAAGUUUAAGAUGAGUUUUACUUGUUUUUGUCGUAAAAUCUCAACGGAAACUCCGAUUGAGACGAAACGAAAAGCG